rnacentral:rRNA from 1 species
CAAACCAAUAAAGUUUUCUUUAUUGGGGUUGCGGACAUAUCAUAACGAAGAGGUAUCGUAAUUGAAGAGGUUUGGAAAGACCCACCACAGAAGGUAAUAGUCCUGUAUGUUAAACGAAAAGACUUUAGAUAUGAUCCAGAGUACCACGGGACACGUGAAACCCGGUGGGAAGCAGGAGGGACCACCCUCCAAGGCUAAAUACUACCUAGUGACCGAUAGCGUAUAGUACCG